rnacentral:rRNA from 1 species
CCUACGGGAGGCAGCAGUGAGGAAUAUUGGUCCAUGGGCGGAAGCCUGAACCAGCCAAGUCGCGUGAGGGAUUAAGGCCCUGCGGGUCGUAAACCUCUUUUGCCGGGGAGCAGUGGUCCGGACGCGUCCGGACCGUGAGAGUACCCGGAGAAAAAGCAUCGGCUAACUCCGUGCCAGCAGCCGCGGUAAUACGGAGGAUGCGAGCGUUAUCCGGAUUUAUUGGGUUUAAAGGUUGCGUAGGCGGGCAUUUAAGCCGGCGGUAAAAUGUCGGGGGUAAACCCCGGCCUGCCGUCGGAACUGGGUGCCUUGAGUGGGCGAGAAGGAUGCGGAAUGCGUGGUGUAGCGGUGAAAUGCAUAGAUAUCACGCAGAACCCCGAUUGCGAAGGCAGCAUACCGGCGCCCUACUGACGCUGAGGCACGAAAGUGCGGGUAUCGAACAGGAUUAGAUACCCUAGUAGUC